rnacentral:lncRNA from 1 species
CUUAAACAAUGUCUACACUGUAUUUCUGAUCAAUUUGAUGUUAUUUUAAUGGACAAAAUGUUUUUCCUUUUCUUUCAAAAACAAGGACAUUUCUAAGUGUCCCCAAACUGUUGAACAGUAGUGUAACUAAACCAAAAUGGAACAUGCAGAAAAUACAUUUCUGAAGCAACAAAAUGAUACCUUGUUCACCCCCCCUCAAUAACCCAUAACGAAAAAGCCAAAACUGGUUUAGACAUUAAUUUAUUCAAAAUAAAAAACAGAAAUAACACAAUUACAUUAAGUAUUCAGACCCUUUUCUCAGUACUUUAUUGAAGCACCUUUGGCAGUGAUUACAGCCUCGAGUCUUCUUGGGUAUGACGCUACAAGCUUGGCACAUCUGUAUUUGGGGAGUUUCUCCCAUUCUUCGCUGCAGGUCCUUUCAAGCUCUGUCAGGUUGGAUGGGGAGUGUCGCUGCACAGCUAUUUUCAGGUCUCUCCAGAGAUGUUAGAUCGGAUUCAAGUCCGGGCUCUGACUGGGCCACUCAAGGACAUUCAGAGACUUGUCCGAAGGCCACUCCUGUGUUGUCUUGGUUGUGUGCUUAGGGUCGUUGUCCUGUUGGAAGGUGAACCUUCACCCCAGUCUGCGGUUCUGAGCGCUCUGGAACAGCUAGUACAGCCCCUAGUACCUUAGGUAGUACAGUAUAGCCUCAGCUAGUCCAGCCCCUAGUCCAGCAGGUAGUACAGUAUAGCCUCAGCUAGUCCAGCAGGUAGUCCAGUAUAGCCUCAGCUAGUCCAGCUCCUAGUCCAGCAGGUAGUACAGUAUAGCCUCAGCUAGUCCAGCAGGUAGUCCAGUAUAGCCUCAGCUAGUCCAGCUCCUAGUCCAGCAGGUAGUACAGUAUAGCCUCAGCUAGUCCAGCAGGUAGUCCAGUAUAGCCUCAGCUAGUCCAGCAGGUAGUACAGUAUAGCCUCAGCUAGUACAGCUCCUAGUCCAGCAGGUAGUACAGUAUAGCCUCAGCUAGUCCAGCUCCUAGUCCAGCAGGUAGUACAGUAUAGCCUCAGCUAGUCCAGCUCCUAGUCCAGCAGGUAGUACAGUAUAGCCUCAGCUAGUCCAGCAGGUAGUACUGUAUAGCCUCAGCUAGUCAGCCCCUAGUCCAGUAUAGCCUCAGCUAGUCAGCCCCUAGUCCAGCAGGUAGUUGGUUUUGAGAGAGAGCCUUGACAGAAUGAUAACCACGCCACAGAACUGUAUACAUUUAUCAAUGAUACAUGUUCCAACUCGGGUCCCUUGACACAGAGGCAAGUACGCUAACCCCAAGAUAGACAACUCUAGAGCUUCUCCCUAACCCUUAACCCUAACCGCUUAACCCUAACCCCAAGAUAGACAACUCUAGAGCUUCUCCCUAACCCUUAACCCUAACCCCAAGAUAGACAACUCUAGAGCUAACCCUAAACCUUAACCCUAACCCCAAGAUAGACAACUCUAGAGCUUCUCCCUAACCCUAACCCUUAACCCUAACCCUUAACCCUAACCCCAAGAUAGACAACUCUAGAGCUACUCCCUAACCCUUAACCCCUAACCCCUAACCCUUAACCCUAACCCCAAGAUAGACAACUCUAGAGCUAACCCUAACCCUUAACCCUAACCCCUAACCCUAACCCCUAACCCCAAGAUAGACAACUCUAGAGCUAACCCUAACCCUUAACCCCCCUAACCCCUAACCCUAACCCCUAACCCCAAGAUAGACAACUCUAGAGCUUCUGAAAGGUUGUUCUAGUGUGGAUAUGAAUGGAGGCUAUGGUCAUAACAGAGAACAGAAAAACAUGGAUGUCUGAGAGUAGUUGUUCUGCUGGUCAGGGAAGGCAAUAGAUUGUAUAGUUAUCUUCUGAUCAGGGUAAAAUCACUACCCCACAACAAUACAAUCUACUACCUCACAACGCCUCAGCAGAUAGACAAUGACUUCAUAAUGUUGACGAUGUACCUUGAUGAUUUCUUCCUGUUCGUUCUCAAAACACCACAGCAAAUACGAUCAGAAUAGAAUCUUUUACAAUGACCAUAAGAGGAGAUUGACUGUAGUAUCCUUGGUGAUUGACACAUUGAGAAAGACAGUAGGUUGUACAGUUAUCUCCCAGUGUGGGUGUGACCCUAAAACUAUCCAACCUACUACCUCAUCCCACUGAGCUGAGGAACCUGGAGAGGAACCUGGAGAGGAACCUGGAGAGGAACCUGGAGAGGAACCUGGUCUGAUCCACCUCACAGCAUC